rnacentral:miRNA from 1 species
AGCAGUGGUUGGUUGGUGUAUAUAUGUGUGUGUGUGUAUAUAUAUAUAUACACACACACACACACACAC